CAUGGUGUAGUUAAGAAGAAAAAAAGAAGCAGUGCUACAGUCGUACUAGACGCUGGAAUGGCUUGUAUUGGUUGAAAUUUUCUUAUUUUUCAGAUUCAAAAAUCUGUUUGCUCUACAAAGUCGAUGAGUGCAUCUAAUCAGUUCUGCAGCGCCAUGGUGAACGUUGGGAGGUGUUGGCACGGAAGACGGAGCGGGAAAAGGUUCACGACAACUAUGCGGUGAUAAGGAUAUCAACGGAUUGUGCAUUUACAGUUAGCGGGUGAGCCCACGCUGUACCUCGUAGGAGAACCUGGCCAUGGGUAUUGGAGAAUGCAUAUCGUAUGCCGGGAUCGUGCUUGACCUUGAACACUGACUCUGCUCGAUCACGGGUUCACAAUCGGUCAUUACGUUACCGGCGGCUUGCCAGCAAUCAGCAUCGGCUAUUCUUUUUCCGUUCAGUUCUUCCUACCGUGCUUCUGUGUAUAAAGUGCCUUCCAUUAACAUCUCCCGACAACAAGUUGGAGUUGCUUCUAGCACGGAUUAUGAUGGUGCUGUUGCUGAAGAGAAAUGUUGUGUUGCCUGGUUGCACUGGACAGGAUGGUUCACACAGUGUAGUCGAUCUCCUGUUGGUGUCGAUUGUUCCCUUCGAGCCGGAGGCCCAUCCCGGCCGCUCAGUGCGAUAGUUUUAGGUG